AAAAGCUUUAACAACGGAUCUCUUGGUUCUCGCAUCGAUGAAGAACGCAGCAAAGCGCGAUAGGUAAUGCGAAUUGCAGACGUGAGUCAUUGAAUUUUUGAACGCACAUUGCACUAUUUAGUUCUCUAGAUAGUAUACUUGUGUGAGCGUCAUUUC
rnacentral:rRNA from 3 species